GGUAUUAGGUUUUGGGGCUAUGGCAAGGUUUAAGUUUUUUGGCGGUAGGGUUAAAAUCACUGUCCAAAACCUUUGUAGGAACUCUUUUCCAACCUUUUGGAGUUAGUUAGACCAAAAAAAAAAGAAAAAUGAAAAAAAAAUAUUUGGGGUGUUCAGGCUUCCUAAAAGUAAUACCCAGGUAUUAGGUUAUGGGGCAAUGGUAAGGUUUAAGGUUUUUGGCGUUAGGGUUAAAAUCACUGUCCAAAACCUUUGUAGGAACUCUUUUCCAACC